rnacentral:rRNA from 1 species
AUUGAACGCUGGCGGCAGGCUUAACACAUGCAAGUCGAGCGGAGAUGAGGUGCUUGCACCUUAUCUUAGCGGCGGACGGGUGAGUAAUGCUUAGGAAUCUGCCUAUUAGUGGGGGACAACAUUCCGAAAGGAAUGCUAAUACCGCAUACGUCCUACGGGAGAAAGCAGGGUAUCUUCGGACCUUGCGCUAAUAGAUGAGCCUAAGUCGGAUUAGCUCGUUGGUGGGGUAAAGGACUACCAAGGCGACGAUCUGUAGCGGGUCUGAGAGGAUGGUCCGCCACACUGGGACUGAGACACGGCCCAGACUCCUACGGGAGGCAGCAGUGGGGAAUAUUGGACAAUGGGGGGAACCCUGAUCCAGCCAUGCCGCGUGUGUGAAGAAGGCCUUAUGGUUGUAAAGCACUUUAAGCGAGGAGGAGGCUACUGAGACUAAUACUCUUGGAUAGUGGACGUUACUCGCAGAAUAAGCACCGGCUAACUCUGUGCCAGCCGCCGCCGUAAUAC